rnacentral:rRNA from 1 species
AUGGACGAAAGUCUGACCGAGCAACGCCGCGUGAGUGAAGAAGGUUUUCGGAUCGUAAAGCUCUGUUGUAAGUCAAGAACGUGUGUGAGAGUGGAAAGUUCACACAGUGACGGUAGCUUACCAGAAAGGGACGGCUAACUACGUGCCAGCAGCCGCGGUAAUACGUAGGUCCCGAGCGUUGUCCGGAUUUAUUGGGCGUAAAGGGAGCGCAGGCGGUCAGGAAAGUCUGGAGUAAAAGGCUAUGGCUCAACCAUAGUGUGCUCUGGAAACUGUCUGACUUGAGUGCAGAAGGGGAGAGUGGAAUUCCAUGUGUAGCGGUGAAAUGCGUAGAUAUAUGGAGGAACACCAGUGGCGAAAGCGGCUCUCUGGUCUGUCACUGACGCUGAUGCUCGAAAGCGUGGGUAGCGAACAAGAUUAGAUACCCUGGUAGUCCACGCCGUAAACGAUGAGUGCUAGGUGUUAGGCCCUUUCCGGGGCUUAGUGCCGACUAACGCAUAGCCUCGCUGGAUACACCAG